rnacentral:rRNA from 1 species
UGAGGAAUAUUGGUCAAUGGACGCAAGUCUGAACCAGCCAUGCCGCGUGCAGGAUGACGGCUCUAUGAGUUGUAAACUGCUUUUAUAUGGGAAUAAUAGUAGCUACGUGUAGUUGCAUGAAUGUACCAUAGGAAUAAGGAUCGGCUAACUCCGUGCCAGCAGCCGCGGUAAUACGGAGGAUCCGAGCGUUAUCCGGAUUUAUUGGGUUUAAAGGGUGCGUAGGUUGCUUUGUAAGUUAGAGGUGAAAUCUUAGGGCUCAACCCUGAAAUUGCCUCUGAUACUGCAGAGCUGGAGUUUAGAUGCAGAGGGCGGAAUGAGUAGUGUAGCGGUGAAAUGCUUAGAUAUUACUCAGAACACCGAUUGCGAAGGCAGCUCUCUAAUCUAUAACUGACACUGAGGCACGAAAGCGUGGGGAGCAAACA